GUAUGAUAGAUACAGUAUGAUAGAUAGGUUCGAUACAGUGUGAUAGAUAGGUUCGAUACAGUGUGAUAGAUAGGAUAGAUACAGUAUGAUAGAUACAGUAUGAUAGAUAGGAUAGAUACAGUAUGAUACAUACAGUAUGAUAGAUAGGAUAGAUACAGUAUGAUAGAUACAGUAUGAUAGAUAGGUUCGAUACAGUGUGAUAGAUAGGUUCGAUACAGUGUGAUAGAUAGGAUAGAUACAGUAUGAUAGAUACAGUAUGAUAGAUAGGAUAGAUACAGUAUGAUACAUACAGUAUGAUAGAUAGGAUAGAUACAGUAUGAUAGAUACAGUAUGAUAGAUAGGUUAGAUACAGUGUGAUAGAUAGGUUUGAUACAGUGUGAUAGAUACAGUGUGAUAGAUACAGUAUGAUAGAUACAGUAUGAUAGAUACAGUAUGAUAGAUACAGUAUGAUAGAUACAGUAUGAUAGAUAGGUUCGAUACAGUAUGAUAGAUAGGUUAGAUACAGUCUGAUAGAUAGGUUCGAUACAGUGUGAUAGAUAGGUUCGAUACAGUGUGAUAGAUAGGUUCGAUACAGUAUGAUAGAUACAGUAUGAUAGAUACAGUAUGAUAGAUACAGUAUGAUAGAUAGGUUCGAUACAGUAUGAUAGAUAGGUUCGAUACAGUAUGAUAGAUACAGUAUGAU
ensembl:lncRNA